CCCAGUGCCCCAACCUCACCCAACACCACCUCUCUCUUCCCCUUCCAACGCCGGCAAAUCCCGGCCGGUUCGGGCGCGCCCUUUCGCCGCCGACCACGGCAGCGACGCCAAAUCCCCCUCCUGUACUGUCUCCAUGGCGUAGAACCGCCGUUCCGCAGCCCCCACGGCGAACUUGAAACCCGCAGGAAUGCGCCAAAGCGGCGCCGCUGCGUGGCUCCGUCGAGCUCCGGCCGACCCUCCUCCUCAACUGCAUCUCCAGGCCGCCUCCACGACCACCCAAUUCCACAGAUGGAACGGCUCCUUCAGGUGACGGUGUUUGAACGCGGUUGCCGGGAUGGCGGUGGGGAGGCACGAAGGACGAGCCGGGUGUCGCCUGCACCACCUGCUGCUGCCGGUAAUCCCUCGGGAGCUUCUGCCCCCGGCGUCUUCUUCUGGCAACCCCUCCCUCGACCUAUUGAUGCCGGCCACCUGCUCCUACCGCGGGCCACCACUCGAAGCUGAUGAAUACCGGAUCACCAACGGCAACAGAUUGUACGGCUGCCGCAGUUGACUGUGGGCAACGGGAGGGGCUCACUGUGUUCCUGGGAGACGUGGAGGCACAUCCUGGCUGCUGAUGUCAGCAGUUUGGCCGGAGUUGCUACCGCUUGCGUUUUCUGGCGACCGCGCCAUCACGGUUCUACUGCAGGCCACCACUCAGAGAUGCUACUGCCUUGUGAGAUCAUACUAACAAGGUUGGUUUUCCAGUUCGUGAAGACCAGCCUUUAAAGAUGGUCUGCUGGAUGAAAAAGACCAACUACUUGAUUCUGCAUGGCCGGAAUUUAGCAAGGCCUGGAGAUGAUGCAUGGUAACCAAGUAAAAAAGCAGUUCAGAAUAAUGGAGCUAUGAAAUCUGCUGAAGCUAGAAAAAAAUCGUUAGGAGACAUAUUGUUCUCUAAAAGAAGAAUUUGUUUGAUGAUUCGAUGGAUGUGAUUUGUGUGAGUUGGCUUGUUACAUUAGAGCUAGGGAAAUUAAGCUGGCAGGCUGCAAGAACAACUAUUGUUGGUUAGUUCGCGUAAUUUUACUAGUUCGCUGCAUGUGUGGUUGCUAAUUUGUACUAGAUGACCUGAGACUCGGCAAAUUUAACCAGUUACUUCAACACCAUAAGGUAUGGAAUGCAUUUCUCUGUUUCUCUUUUAAUUUUGUUGUUUAUAUUUUGAGUAUGGGAGAUGCAAAAGGGAUUAGAGAGAAAAGCAAACGUAGCUCCUUCUUCACUUAGCAAUACUAUGGAUGCUAUUAACUAGGUUAGGGAGGGGAUAUUAAUUGUCGUCUUUGCCUUGAAAGUUACAUAGAAUUUCCAAUUUUUCAUCCUAUUUUACAUUGAUGUUUAGCUUCUGAACAUCUCUUAGAUCCAAUUAGGCCAGGUCAUAAACAUGAUGAUAAACUCCAUCAAGUAUUUGCUAUUUCCUUUUUUGUAAUCCAUUUAUUGAUUUUAAGCUUUUUAUCAUUUUGUCUCUAAGAUAAUAAAUGUGUGAAGUAGACAUGAUUACUUGAAUUGCUUGAAGAUGAUAGUUGAUACAACAUCUCUAUUUUCAUGAAUUAGGAACUCAAUAAGUCAUAACUGAUUGGUAUUUCAGGAAUCUCACUGUUUGUGUGUGUAUUUUCUUCUGCAUGUUCCCUCUAUAUGUGGCAUGGUUGUGUUCUGUGUUGCUUAAUCGUGUUAUUUUUUUAAUCGUAGGGUUGGUUAUGUAUCUGCCACAUACACUUAAUGCAUUUUUGUAUAUUGAUGUUCAAUUAGCAAGGCUGCUCUUCAAUUUUUCUUUUGACUAGAAUAGGCAAGCAGGGCCAUGGGGUGCAAUUCAUUUCUUCUAGUUUUGUGCGUGAAAUUCUCUCUGGUACAAUAUAAUAUACGUGAUUAUGUACCAUUUCUACUAUUUUUACUUUUAAAGAGAUUAGAUCUGUACAUGUAUCUGAGCCUACUUCUUAACUUGUGCAGGCCUUGCGGUUAAGCCUAGACCGUGUGCUGCGGGACUGCGGGAGGGGCUCACUGUGUUGCUGGGAUGGCGACGCGGAGGCACGGAAGACGAGCCGGUGUUCUUCUGCCCUUGCUGCUGCUGAUGGCAGUCCGAGAUGGUAAUAAUGACAAGGUUGGAUUUCCUUUACGUGAAGACCAUCCUUCAAAGAUGGUCUAAAGGAUGAAAAAGAGAAGCAUGAGGCUUAGUGCUAAUAACCAGAAUGAUCAGUGUACUGUUGAUAGAAGUGGGAACAUACCCCCCCCCCCCUGGUUAUUGUUUUUUUGCUUAGCUUGAUUCUAUCUUAUCGCUGUGGAACGGACCUUCCUAAUAUAUCAAUUUGUAGGAACUGUUAUUGAUUCAAAGAUUUUCCAUCCGAUAGAGAUUCAUUUCUACUUGUGUAGACAUGUUGGCAUUCAGCUACAUGUUGUUGCACAAGUGGAAGCUCUCUCUUUCCCGUAAUGUCCUCUGCUCCAAGUGCAAGGGGUAAGUCUUGUCUGUCCAUUCCAAUAACCUAACUGGCCAUGUAUUUUCGAAUAUUGUUCGUGACCAUACUCCUUUGUUUAUUUUAGCAAGGGAUUCAACAGCCUGAUGAAGUAUGGUAGCUUUUGUUAUUUGAAAUCAUUUAUUUUCCUGUAAAUAAUAAAAUGCUCAAUUAUAAUUGGUUUGCAGUGAGAAGGAUGUGUACUUCUUAAACAUGGGUUGGUAGAUGUUAUAUGUUUAUCCCAGUGGAACUGUUGGUAGUUCCAUGUUUAAUGUUCAAUACUUUGUUUAGAAGAGCAAAAGGUGGUCAUUGAUUUGUUAUCUUUGUCUGGAGUUGAUCAUCUUAAAGUUGCUGGCUACUAUCAGCUCUGUCAUGUAAUGAAUAUCAUUGGUACUUUAUUGUUUAUAUCCAUCUUGUACUGAUGUUCAGUCAGUUCAAUUGCAAAACGAUACAAGUAUGCAUUGCAAGAGACAAGCAUGCAAUAAUGCAGCCACUAAUUUCAAGUGGUGGCAAGGAAAAAGGAGGGGAGAUAAAGAGGAAGAGGUAUCCUUUUCUGCCCUGAUUGCAGUGGCAUUGGGCGGUUCUGGCAGCUGGAGAUUCCUCUGCUAGCAUGGUCGCCACCCACAGUAGGACGGCAGGAGGAACUAUGGCUGCUGCACCUCUAAUUCGAGCAGGAUGGCAGGAAGGUUUUCCUAUUGGCAGGGUACACUCGGUGAGGCCAUCAAGGAUGACAAGGUGACCAUGUCCACUGGACCCUGCCGACAAGUUCCCCCAGUUCCCGAGUUCGAACUCUUGCACACAAAUAAGUCUUCUAAUCUGGGUACAAGGUCUUCCACACGAUCGACUCUGAAGAAGAAAUCUGAAGAGGAGGAAGAGAAGAUUGUUCCAGACACCAUGGUAAAUGGAUAAACAGUUGGACGACACUUUGACCUUGGAGUAAAGAUAAGGGAAGGACAUGCAGGGAUACCAUGGGAGAAGUCAAACUACAGUAGGCACGAGUACCUUCAGAUGAGUCUGAAAUAGUAUAAGAUCUAUGAGAGCCUCGCUAGACUGCGAGAAUGACCAGAAAAGGACAAUAGCGAGCUUGUUCUGGAUGCUUGAAGCCUGGCCGCAACCAAGGGAGUGCAGUACCCGUUCGUGGUGGGCAAGAGGUCCUUAUCUUGGUCUGAUAUAUGGAAUGUUGAUGCUCUGAUGGCUGGGAAGAAAGUUGGAUGUGGAUAGCAUGUUGAGUGACCAAGUCGCGGCUGGGUAGGAAUAGCAGCUCGAGGGCGGCGACCCUUGUCACGACAACGAUGGUAGAUAGGUGAGAGUGGAACACACUCGCCAGCCCCUCCGAACUCCCUCGCCGACCGGCCUACACGGAACAGCUUGCCCCCGGCCACUUGGGAAUCUAGCACUAUGUGGGAAGUUGUUCUUGCUUCGCUGAUGCUGCUGCUGCCGUCGUAGCCACAGGUGGCUGGCUUAUGUGAUAUAUUACGGUUUCAUCUCCUUGCAAUGUUGAGUAGUGGUCGACCUGUAACAUCCAUUUCUUUUUUAGGGGUUAAGACUGGCGAUUCUGUUUGUGUUUGAUUGUGCGGGUAUGGCUGAAUGCCACAUGAGCUGUGGUGCUAUCUGCAGUCUUUAUAUAUUGUUGCUUAUUUGUUGUGAGCUAUGAAUGUUCGAGAAUCGCGGGACUACAUUGACAUUUUUUGGGCUAAUCCUGCUAGUUAACCUUGAGUUUUAGUUUUGUUA